AGCCGGAUGGAAGGCUACAGCUUAGCAGGUAGAGCAUGUGCUUUGUGUGCAGCAGGUCGCGGGUUCAAUUCCCGACAACUCCAGUUA